rnacentral:rRNA from 1 species
GCAGGCCUAAACAUGCAAGUUGAACGGGAUUUUGGGUAGCAAUAUCUGAAUGAGAGUAGCGCACGGGUGCGUAACACGUAUGCAACCUACCUAUGACUGGGGGAUAGCCUUCCGAAAGGAAGAUUAAUACCGCAUAAUGAUCUCGAAGGGGCAUCUCUUUGGGUCCAAACCUCCGGGGGUCAUAGAUGGGCAUGCGUUCGAUUAGCUAGUUGGUGAGGUAACGGCUCACCAAGGCUACGAUCGAUAGGGGGUCUGAGAGGAUGAUCCCCCACACUGGUACUGAGACACCGGACCAGACUCCUACGGGAGGCAGCAGUAAGGAAUAUUGGACAAUGGGCCGCAAGCUUGAUCCACGCCAUGCCGCGUGAAGGAUGAAGGCCCUAUGCGGUUCAACCUUCUUUUCGCAGGGAAAAACCCCCCGAUGCGUCGGGGUCCNUGGUACCUGCCCAUACGCAUCGGUUACUCCUGCCAGCCCCGCUUCAAGACGAAGACCC